GUGCAGCAGAUAUAUUUUGAAAAUGGAUUUUUUUGUUUUGGCAAGAGCAUGAGAGCUUUUACUGGGCAAGAAGACAAGAGAUGGAGAGUCCAGCCGGGCCUGCGCUUAAGUGCGCGGUCUUGCUAGGCUUGUAAGUUUCUUUCUUGCUAUUCCAAACGGUGAGAGAUUUCUGUGCUUUUGUUAUAGGACAAUUAAAACCGUUUCAAUACAACACACUGUGGAGUUUUCAUAUCUUUGCAACUUUUUCUUUGGGCAUUCGAGCAAUCGGGGCCCAGAGGUAACAAACACAAACAAUUUUAUUUAUUCAUUAAAUUUUUGUCAAAAACAAGAAUUUUCGUAACUGGAAAUUUUAAAAUAUUAAAAACUUUCAACAACGGAUCUCUUGGUUCUCGCAUCGAUGAAGAACGCAGCGAAAUGCGAUACGUAAUGUGAAUUGCAGAAUUCCGUGAAUCAUCGAAUCUUUGAACGCACAUUGCGCCCCUUGGUAUUCCAGGGGGCAUGCCUGUUUGAGCGUCAUUUCCUUCUCAAACAUUCUGUUUGGUAGUGAGUGAUACUCUUUGGAGUUAACUUGAAAUUGCUGGCCUUUUCAUUGGAUGUUUUUUUUCCAAAGAGAGGUUUCUCUGCGUGCUUGAGGUAUAAUGCAAGUACGGUCGUUUUAGGUUUUACCAACUGCGGCUAAUCUUUUUUAUACUGAGCGUAUUGGAACGUUAUCGAUAAGAAGAGAGCGUCUAGGCGAACAAUGUUCUUAAAGUUUGACCUCAAAUCACGUAGGAGUUACCCGCUG
rnacentral:rRNA from 1 species